GCUCACUUUGGCAGCACAUAUGCUAGAAUUGGAAUGUUACAGAGAAGAUGAGCAUGGCUCCUGCACAAGGAUGACAUGCAAAUUCAUGAAGUGUUCCAUAGUUUU